rnacentral:piRNA from 1 species
UGAGCUUCUGGUGGCAACUUUAUGGGUC